rnacentral:sRNA from 1 species
UAGCUCAGUUGGUAGAGCAGUUGACUUUUAAUCAAUUGGUCGCAGGUUCGAGCCGCUUGCGGCGACGGCCCGAAGGGCGAGCAAAGCGAGUCAUCCUGCACGACCCACCA